rnacentral:ncRNA from 1 species
UAAAGUUUUGGUCCUAAACUUGCCCUUGUUUUUUAUCAAAAUUACACAUGCAAGCUUCAACAAGCCAGUGAGAAUGCCCACAACCCCCCAAACAGCCUAAAGGAGCAGGCAUCAGGAACACCAAAAAUUUUAGCCUACAACGCCUUGCUAUGCCACACCCACACGGGUACUCAGCAGUGAUUAACAUUAAGACAUGAGCGAAAGCUCGACUUAGUUAUGAUUAAACCUGGUCGGUAAAUUUCGUGCCAGCCACCGCGGUUAUACGAAAGACCAAAAACAAGGACCCCCCGGCGUAAAGAGUGACCAAGAGAGCAUCUAACAAUUUAAAGGAAAACCACCUCAAAGUUGUAAAACACCUUGAUAAUGGGACCCCCAACAAUAAAAUGCCUUUAAACACCUAAGACCCCUCACCUUCACUAAAGCUAAGAAACAAACUAGGAUUAGAUACCCUACUAUGCUUAGCCCUUAACACAGACAACAGACAUACAAUGCUGUCCGCCAGAGAACUACAAGUGAAAAACUUAAAACUCCAAGGACUUGGCGGUGCUCCAUACCGUCCUAGAGGAGCCUGUCCUAUAAUCGAUACCCCACGUUAUACCCGACCAUUUUUUGCAACCUCAGCCUAUAUACCGCCGUCGUCAGCCUACCUUAUGAAGGCCAAAAAGUAGGCAAAAUAGUUAUUCAACUAACACGUCAGGUCAAGGUGUAGCACAUAAAAUGGGAGAGAUGGGCUACAUUUUCUACUUCAGAAAACACGAACUGCACAAUGAAAUACGUGCAAGAAGGUGGAUUUAGCUGUAAGACAAACAAGAAUGUUUCUCUAAACCUCGCUCUGGAGCGCGCACACACCGCCCGUCACCCUCAUCAACAUGAUCUUGCCCAAAAAUAUAGCCAAACUCAUACCUCAGAUGAGGAAAGUCGUAACAUGGUAAGCGCACCGGAAGGCGUGCUUGGAAUAAC